rnacentral:lncRNA from 1 species
AGCAUUGUCCUCCAUGCAAAUGAGUUUGUUGUAAAGAAUGUGUCACUUUCUGCCCAGGAUUUUGCCCUUAUUGGAGAGGAACAGGGAGCUGACUCCCCUAAUUGUAAAAAAAUCUCUGCAGGAGGUUUUUAAACUCUUCUGCUAUCUCUUUGUAUUUUAGGCGCUCAUCACUUCUGGGAAUUUCAAGUUCCGGCUUUCAUUUAGUCUGCAGUCUUUAUUCAUCCUGGAAAAGCUGCUUCACACUUCCAUGCAGGGCACUGAACUCCUUGGAUUAUUGGAAAGCCAUGGCUGUAUCCUAUCCAAAUGUUUCCAGCUCACAGAUUGACUACCAUGGGUCUCCAAGUCCUUGACCUUCCCAAUCGCAGGGUCUUGAUCUUUUCAGUCUGUUUGCAUUGCAGAAGCCUCUCUCUCAUUCCUUUGCCUAACGAGUCAAUUGCCACUUUUCUAAGGUGUUUCACCACCUGACAAUUAUCCAGAAACCUCAGUCUCUCUCUGGAGAGCUCACAAUUUGUUAAAUUAAACAGAUGAUAUAUCCUGGGGUCAGUGACACUCCUGAGUGAAGACAUUACUUCAAAGAAGGAAUAAAGCUUCAUUUUUCUCCAGAGCUUUCCUACUCCAAACCUGAAAUCUUCCUCAGGUUUACAAGUUUAUAGUGAUGUCAUCAUACGUCUUGACAUUCACCAGGGCACAUGAUUGCCAAGGUCUUUGGUGCCUUUGAACUUGUACAAAUAUUUCCACUUCAGUGACGGUGACUCAGAAGCCAGUCUUCACAGUUGCUCUGUUCUCCGGAAGGCAGGGUGUUUGUAUUUCAUGGAUGAACCUGGUACCUACGGUUCUGACUGCAGUGCUGCUGGAGAACAAGGACUAUGUCUUCUCCAUCAAGUCUUUCCCGUGACCCUUGUCCUGCUCAUUACUGAUGAGGAAGAGAAAGUCACAAACACCAGGGAUCAGAGGCUCUCUCAAGGCAAAGAUCUCCCAGCUGAUCAAGUGAUCCUGUGAUGCCCUAAAAGCUGACAGAAGUAUUUAGAAUGAGGAGCUGGGGGCCAGUGCUGUGGUACAGCAGGUAAAGCCACUGGCAGUGCUGGCAUUCAAUAUGGGCAGUGGUUCAAGUCCCUGUUGCUCCACUUCCAAUCAGCUCCCUGCUAAUGUUCCUGGGAACGCAGUAGAAGAUGGCCCAACUGCUAUCUGUGACCCCGAAGAAGCUCCUGGCUCCUGGCUUUGACCUGGCUGAGCCCUGGCCAUUGCAGUCAUUUGGGAAAUGAACCAGAGGAUGGAAGAUUCUUUCUCCCUCUCUCUUUUUCUCUUUCUCAGUCUGCCUUUCAAAUAAAUAAAUAAAUCUUAAAAAAUUUAUAGAACGA